AUUGAACGCUGGCGGCAUGCUUUACACAUGCAAGUCGAACGGCAGCGCGGGCUUCGGCCUGGCGGCGAGUGGCGAACGGGUGAGUAAUGCAUCGGAACGUGCCUGGUAGUGGGGGAUAGCCUGGCGAAAGCCGGAUUAAUACCGCAUACGACCUGAGGGUGAAAGUGGGGGACCUAAAGACCUCGCGCUAUUGGAUCGGCCGAUGUCGGAUUAGCUAGUUGGUGGGGUAAAGGCCUACCAAGGCGACGAUCCGUAGCUGGUCUGAGAGGACGACCAGCCAACAUGGGACUGGGGCAAGGCCCCGAAUCCUUAGGGAGGCCACAGUGGGGGAAUUUGGAAAAUGGGGGCAAACCCUGACCAGCCAUGGCGGGGGCGGGAAGAAGGCCUUCGGGUUGGAAAACGAUUUUGUGCGGGAAGAAAGGCUAUGAGCUAAUACCCCGGGGGGAUGACGGUAACGGAAGAAUAAGCACCGGCUAACUACGUG
rnacentral:rRNA from 1 species